rnacentral:rRNA from 1 species
CCUUCGGGGUACACGAGCGGCGAACGGGUGAGUAACACGUGGGUGAUCUGCCCUGUACUUCGGGAUAAGCCUGGGAAACUGGGUCUAAUACCGGAUAUGACCUUACAUCGCAUGGUGUUUGGUGGAAAGAUUUAUCGGUACAGGAUGGGCCCGCGGCCUAUCAGCUUGUUGGUGGGGUAAUGGCCUACCAAGGCGACGACGGGUAGCCGGCCUGAGAGGGCGACCGGCCACACUGGGACUGAGACACGGCCCAGACUCCUACGGGAGGCAGCAGUGGGGAAUAUUGCACAAUGGGCGAAAGCCUGAUGCAGCGACGCCGCGUGAGGGAUGACGGCCUUCGGGUUGUAAACCUCUUUCGACAGGGACGAAGCGCAAGUGACGGUACCUGUAGAAGAAGCACCGGCCAACUACGUGCCAGCAGCCGCGGUAAUACGUAGGGUGCGAGCGUUGUCCGGAAUUACUGGGCGUAAAGAGCUUGUAGGCGGUUUGUCGCGUCGUCCGUGAAAACUUGGGGCUCAACCCCAAGCUUGCGGGCGAUACGGGCAGACUUGAGUACUGCAGGGGAGACUGGAAUUCCUGGUGUAGCGGUGAAAUGCGCAGAUAUCAGGAGGAACACCGGUGGCGAAGGCGGGUCUCUGGGCAGUAACUGACGCUGAGAAGCGAAAGCGUGGGUAGCGAACAGGAUUAGAUACCCUGGUAGUCCACGCCGUAAACGGUGGGCGCUAGGUGUGGGUUUCCUUCCACGGGAUCCGUGCCGUAGCUAACGCAUUAAGCGCCCCGCCUGGGGAGUACGGCCGCAAGGCUAAAACUCAAAGGAAUUGACGGGGGCCCGCACAAGCGGCGGAGCAUGUGGAUUAAUUCGAUGCAACGCGAAGAACCUUACCUGGGUUUGACAUACACCGGAAACCUGCAGAGAUGUAGG